GGUACCUUUAAUUCAGUCCCGUGAGGCUGGCAAGGACAGCGGAUAUGUGUGAAGAGCGUAGGGUUACGUCUAUGGAAUGGAAUAGGUGUACCUAUGUCUCUUUGUGCAAAAAGCUUCUUGUCGCUAGACGGCAGGAAGCUUUUUUUGU
rfam:Pontibacillus marinus BH030004 = DSM 16465 strain BH030004 contig14, whole genome shotgun sequence.